rnacentral:rRNA from 1 species
AACGUAGGUUCCGAGCGUUAUCCGGAUUUACUGGGCGUAAAGCGUGCGUAGACGGUUAUUUAAGUCGGGUGUGAAAGCCCCGGGCUCAACCUGGGAAUUGCAUUCGAGACUGAAUAGCUAGGGUACGGUAGAGGGAAGCGGAAUUUCCGGUGUAGCGGUGAAAUGCGUAGAUAUCGGAAGGAACAUCAGUGGCGAAAGCGGCUUCCUGGACCAGUACCGACGUUCAGGCACGAAAGCGUGGGGAGCAAACAGG